AGAAUCAACGCUGGCGGCGUGCCUAACACAUGCAAGUCGAACGAGAAAGUGGAGCAAUCCAUGAGUAAAGUGGCGACCGGGUGAGUAACACGUGACUAACCUACCUUCGAGUGGGGGAUAACCUCGGGAAACCGGGGCUAAUACCGCAUAACAUCCUUGGAGUGGAAACUCUGGGGAUCAAAGGAGCAAUUCGCUGGAAGAGGGGGUCGCGGCUGAUUAGCUAGUUGGCGGGUAAUGGCCCACAAGGCUUUGAUCGGUA
rnacentral:rRNA from 1 species